UACGAAGGGGGCUAGCGUUGCUCGGAAUCACUGGGCGUAAAGCGCGCGCAGGCGGUCCUUUAAGUUAGGGGUGAAAGCCCAGAGCUCAACUCUGGAACUGCCUUUGAAACUAGAGGACUUGGGUACGGGAGAGGUGAGUGGAAUUCCGAGUGUAGAGGUGAAAUUCGUAGAUAUUCGGAAGAACACCAGUGGCGAAGGCGGCUCACUGGCCCGUUACCGACGCUCAGGCGCGACAGCGUGGGGAGCAAACAGG
rnacentral:rRNA from 1 species